AUGGCAGAAGUGGAUCGUAUGGCUUGUGAAACCAUGUGGGGGUCAAGAGUGACGGGCUGCUGGGGUCAGAAGGAUGUUCACGUGACAAUCGUGAAUGUGUAUGUGCCUUGUGUCGCUGCGGAAUCUCCAACAGUUCAAAGGGCUUAUGGGGUCGUCAAUGAAAGACUCAUCACCAUUUGGUUCGCAUGUGUAUGGACAGUUUGGAGGAGACGAAACAAGAUUAUUCUUGGAAGGCCAAGGAGAUACGAAUCAUCAUUCAUAGAAGACAUUCAAUUGGCAUUUGGGAAGUGGACCAAAAGUAAGAUCAGAGGCGAGACUUGGGGGCAUUGGAAGAGGUGUCGUGCGUCCAGUCUUCGUUUUGGUUUCUCAUCAGUGCAAGUGGAGCUGGUCUGGAGUCUUAUCGGUGCAUUUAAAUAUGGAAUAUAG